rnacentral:rRNA from 1 species
UCAAACCAUUUUUCAUACCAGAAAGCACCGAAUCCCGUCCGACCUUUGAAGUUAAGCUGGUGAUGGCGCCUCCAGUCUUGUGGUUGGGGACCACACGGGAAUACUACGUGCCGUAAGUC